rnacentral:lncRNA from 1 species
AUUUAUUAUUUGUACCCCGCCCAUCUGGCUGGGUUUCCCCAGCCACUCUGGGCGGCUUCCAUAGAAACCAAAAACACUAAAAUAUCAUACAUUAAAAACUUCCCUGAACAGGGCUGCCUUAAGAUGUCUUCUGAAUGUCAGGUAGUUGUUUAUCGUUUUGACAUCUGAUGGGAGGGCGUUCCACAGGGCGGGCGCCACUACUGAAAAGGCCCUCUGCCUGGUUCCCUGUAGCUUUGCUUCUCGCAAUGAGGGAACCGCCAGAAGGCCCUCGGCGCUGGACCUCAGCGUCCGGGCAGAACGAUGGGGGUGGAGACGCUCCUUCAGGUAUACUGGGCCGAGGCCGUUUAGGGCUUUAAAGGUCAACACCAGCACUUUGAAUUGUGCUCGGAAACGUACUGGGAGCCAAUGUAGGUCUUUCAAGACCGGUGUUAUGUGGUCUCGGCGGCCGCCCCCAGUCACCAGUCUAGCUGCCGCAUUCUGGAUUAGCUGUAGUUUCCGAGUCACCUUCAAAGGUAGCCCCACGUAGAGCGCAUUGCAGUAGUCCAAGCGGGAGAUAACUAGAGCAUGCACCACUCUGGCGAGACAGUCCGCGGGCAGGUAGGGUCUCAGCCUGCGUACCAGGUGGAGUUGGUAGACAGCUGCCCUGGAUACAGAAUUGACCUGCGCCUCCAUGGACAGCUGUGAGUCCAAAAUGACUCCCAGGCUACGCACCUGGUCCUUCAGGGGCACAGUUACCCUAUUCAGGACCAGGGAGUCCUCCACACCAGCCCGCCCCUGUCCCCCAAAAACAGUACUUCUGUCUUGUCAGGAUUCAACUUCAAUCCAUUAGCCGCCAUCCAUCCUCCAACCGCCUCCAGGCACUCACACAGGACCUUCACCGCCUUCACUGGUUCUGAUUUGAAAGAGAGGUAGAGCUGGGUAUCAUCUGCAUAUUGAUGGACACCCAGUCCAACCCCCUGAUGAUUUCUCCCAGCGGCUUCAUAUAGAUGUUAAAAAGCAUGGGGGAGAGGACGGAACCCUGAGGCACCCCACAAGUGAGGGCCCAAGGGUCUGAACACUCAUCCCCCACCACCACUUUCUGAACACGGCCCAGGAGGAAGGAGCGAAACCACUGUAUAACAGUGCCCCCAGCUCCCAACCCCUCUAGACGGUCCAGAAGGAUGUUAUGGUCGAUUGUAUCAAUGGCCGCUGAGAGAUCCAGCAGAACUAGGAAACAACUCUCACCUUUGUCCCUAGCUCGCCGGAGAUCAUCAACCAGUGCGACCAAGGCAGUUUCAGUCCCAUGAUGAGGCCUGAACCCUGAUUGGAAGGGAUCCAAAUGGUCCGCAUCCUCCAGGCGUGCCUGGAGUUGUUCAGCAACCACACGCUCAAUAACCUUGCCCAAGAAUGGAAGAUUUGAGACUGGGCGAUAGUUGGCCAUACUGGCCGGGUCUAAAGAUGGUUUUUUAAGAAGCGGUUUAAUGACCGCCUCUUUCAGUGGAUCUGGGAAUGUUCCCUCACAGAGGGAAGCAUUCACCACCCCUCAGAGCCCAUCGCCCAGCCCUUCCCGGCUUGCUUUUAUUAGCCAGGAUGGGCAAGGAUCAAGGAGACAGGUGGUUGGUUUCACGCGUCCAAGCAGCCUGUCCACAUCCUCGGGGGUAACGGAUUGAAAUUGAUUCCAUGCAACUUGACCAGACAGGGCUCUAGCACUCUCCCGCCCCAGCCCUGCUCCCACGGUGGUGUCUAGCUCCUUCCGAAUAUGAGUGAUUUUAUCUGCAAAAAACUUUGCAAAAUCGUUGCAGGAGAUCUUGGGGUCUUUACAAGGCCCCGGUGGUAAAGGUGGUUCCAUUAAAUUGCGGACCACCUGAAAGAGUCUCCUGCUACUAUUUUCUGCAGAUGCAAUAGAGGCGGUGAAGAAAGUCUUCUUCGCCGUCGCUAUCGCCACUUGGUAGGCUCGACGUUGAGCUCUAACCUGUGUCCGGUCAGAUUCGGAGUGAGUUUUCUGCCACCGACGCUCUAGCCGUCUCAGCGAUUGUUUCAUCGCCCUCAGCUCCGAAGAAAACCACGGGGCUGUCCGGGCUCCAUGCAAUCGGAGAGGGCGCUCGGAGCCAGACAGUCGAUAGCCCUGGUUAACUCCGCAUUCCAGCGGGCCACCAGGGAAUCAGCUGAAAGGCCAUCAACAUGGGAUAAAGCAUCCCCUACCACUCUCUGGAAACCAUUUGGAUCCAUUAAGUGGCGGGGCGGACCAUCCGAAUUGGUCCCACCUCCCUGCAGAGGGGAAGGGUCGCGGAGAAGUCCAGUUGCACCAGGAAGUGAUCUGACCAUGGCACUUCUUUGGUUUCACUUUUACUUAGUGUCAGAUCACCCACAUCACUAGAGGUGAAUACCAGGUCUAAGGCAUGUCCAUGACUAUGAGUUGGGCCCAACUUAUUCAGGGACAGCCCCAUGGAGGCCAUGCUUUCCACGAAGUCCCGAGCGGCCCCUUGUAAGGUCGUGUCGGCGUGGAUGUUAAAAUCCCCUAGGACAACCAAACUAGGUGUCUCCAGGAGAACAUCCGCCACGACCUGAAGCAGCUCGGACAGGGAAUCCUUGGUGCAGCGGGGAGGUCGGUACACCAAAAGGAAUCCUGUACUGCCCCUAUUGCCCAACUUCCAGAACAUGCACUCAGAAAACUGGGUCUUCCCAGUAGGACGCCUGAUGCAAACUAAUGACUUCCUAAAAAUCACUGCAACCCCCCCUCCCCGCCCACAUGACCUGGGUUGCUGUGCGUAAGAGAAACCUGGUGGGCAAGCGGCAGCAAGGACAGGCCCAUCUGCUUCCUCCAACCAGGUCUCUGUCACACAUGCCAGGUCAAAUCCUCCAUCCACAAUCAGGUCGUGGAUGGCAGUGGUUUUAUUCAUCAUUGACCUGGCAUUACACAGCAACACCUUCAGGUCAUGUGGGUUUCCCCUGUUGAUUCCAGUAUCCAUCCGGUCAAGGCCAGACCCGGAGGCAGGGAUAGUCUUCAAACAACGACUAAACCUGCCUCCUCGGUAAUGACAUGGUCUGGUCUUAGCGUAACUCCUCCUCCUGCCCAUGAUCACCGAGAUCGGAUGUCCCAGUGCUUCCCCCCCUGUGGAACUUGUCCCAGCCAUCGUGUUGGCUGGGGCCCCACUCCCAGGCAGCCCUGAUCCCGCCCCUUAAAAACAAAACACAAACUAUACAGAACCAAUAAAACAACAGAAAACAAAAACAGAACAAUUAUACUAAAAUUAAUCCCCAACCAAAUAUCCAUCCCACCCACCCACCCCCAACAAAG